rnacentral:rRNA from 1 species
CCGGCGCACGGGUGAGUAACGCGUGUGCAACUUACCUAUCAGGAGGGGAGAACCGGCGAAAGUCGGACUAAUACCGCAUGAAGCAGGGGCCCCGCAUGGGGAUAUUUGCUAAAGAUUCAUCGCUGAUAGAUAGGCAUGCGUUCCAUUAGGCAGUUGGCGGGGUAACGGCCCACCAAACCGACGAUGGAUAGGGGUUCUGAGAGGAAGGUCCCCCACACUGGUACUGAGACACGGACCAA